AAUAUUGGACAAUGGGGGGAACCCUGACGCAGCAACGCCGCGUGAGUGAAGAAGGCCNNNGGGUCNUCAAGCUCUGUCAUUGGNGACNAAGGAGUGACGGUACCCAAGGAGGAAGCCCCGGCUAACUACGUGCCAGCAGCCGCGGUAAUACGUAGGUGGCGAGCGUUGUCCGGAAUUACUGGGCGUAAAGGGUGCGUAGGCGGCCUCAGAAGUCAGGUGUGAAAUACCGUGGCUUAACCACGGGGGUGCAUUUGAAACUUGGAGGCUUGAGUGCAGGAGAGGAAAGUGGAAUUCCUAGUGUAGCGGUGAAAUGCGUAGAGAUUAGGAGGAACACCAGUGGCGAAGGCGACUUUCUGGACUGUAACUGACGCUGAUGCACGAAAGCGUGGGUAGCGAACA
rnacentral:rRNA from 1 species